rnacentral:rRNA from 1 species
AUUGAACGCUGGCGGCAUGCUUUACACAUGCAAGUCGAACGGUAACAGGUUAAGCUGACGAGUGGCGAACGGGUGAGUAAUGCAUCGGAACGUGCCCGGUCGUGGGGGAUAACGCAGCGAAAGCUGCGCUAAUACCGCAUACGAUCUGAGGAUGAAAGCGGGGGACCGUAAGGCCUCGCGCGAUCGGAGCGGCCGAUGUCAGAUUAGGUAGUUGGGGGGGGAAAGGCUCACCAAGCCAACGAUCUGUAGCUGGUCUGAGAGGACGACCAGCCACACUGGGGAUGAGGCAGGGCCCAGACGCCUGCGGGAGGCAGCAGUGGGGAAUUUUGGACAAUGGGGGAAAGCAUGAUCCAGCAAUGCCGCGUGCAGGAAGAAGGCCUUCGGGUUGUAAACUGCUUUUGUACGGAGCGAAAAGGUCUCCUCUAAUACAGGGGGCUCAUGACGGUACCGUAAGAAUAAGCACCGGCUAACUACGUGCCAGCCGCCGCAGUAA